rnacentral:rRNA from 1 species
UUAGAAUAUUUUUAUUAAGGGUUGGGCCUGCCCGGUGAUUUAUUUAACGGCCGCAGUUAGGAGCUGUGCUAAGGUAGCGUAGUAAGUUGUCCUUUAAAUGGGGAAAGGAAUGAAUGGUUUGACGUGGGAGAGUCUGUCUCUAAUGAAAGAAAUGAAUUUUUCUUUUCGGUGAAAAGCCCGAAAUAAAAUUAAAAGACGAGAAGACCCUUUCGAGCUUGAUUAAGUUUUUAAGAUUUUAAGAAUGAAAGUUUGGUUGGGGCAACUAAGGAGCAAAAUUAGACUCCUUUUGGUUUGAAGAUCCAAAAAUUUUGAAUAAAGAAAAAGCUACCGUAGGGAUAACAGCGUUAUCUUUUCUGAGAGAACAAAUUGAAGAAAAGGUUUGCGACCUCGAUGUUGAAUUAAAGUUUCCGCUAGGCGUAGAAGCUUAAAUGGUAAGACUGUUCGUCUUUUAAAGCU